GUGAACGCCGUGUCAGCAGGCGGGGUAAAACGGAGGGUCCAAGCGUUAACCGGAAUCAUUGGGUUUAAAGGGUCCGGAGGCGGCAGUAUAAGUCAGCGGUGAAAGUUUUUGGCUUAACCAAAAAAUUGCCAUGGAUACUGUAGGGCUUGAAUAUUUGUGAAGUAACUAGAAUAUGUAGUGUAGCGGUGAAAUGCUUAGAUAUUACAUGGAAUACCAAUUGCGAAGGCAGGUUACUAACAAAUGAUUGACGCUGAUGGACGAAAGCGUGGGUAGCGAACAGGAUUAGAUACCCGAGUAGUC
rnacentral:rRNA from 1 species